rnacentral:lncRNA from 1 species
AUCUAUUCUUAUUAAUGGGGAAAAAUUCUAUCCCAUUUCCUCCAAGAGGCCCAACCCAUGCAUAUCAUGUCCCCGCAUCCAGCUCCAGGUGCCUGACUGGCCACACCCUGUAGACUGCACCUGUCCCAUCGUCAUCAUCAUUACUAUUACCGUUCCUCACAGCAAGACCACUUCUCGGGGGCUGUAGCCACACGGCUCCGCUGACAAUUGCGUCCCGUCUCCCAGCGAGGGCCACACAGCCCGCCAAGGUCCGCAAUCCCACUGGAUCACAACAGUCUUCAGGACCCUGGGGUUGUGGCCACGCAGGCCCACCCAGCGUCUCCCGUGGCUGAGAACUCACUCUGUGCCGUUCACGCUGCAGCAGCCCUCAACCACCUUCUCCUCAGGGCCGCCAGGAAGCAACUCCGUCCUACUGAAGCAAGGCAGGCACCCAUCCCCACCCCACCAACACCCUGAAGGGGCAAGUUCAUGCUCUUCAUGCCGCGGCAGAGGGAAGAUGAUUAACAAGACGGCCGUCAGGGCCUUGAGUACAUUUAUGUGGCACAGGUGAUUUGUUUUUGUGUUUUAAUCUUGGGAAUUCUAGAGUGGCUCAGAUUCCCACAGGGCUUCUGGACAAGCCAAGCGCUAAAUCAUCAGCUCCUGCUGUGGUCACCUGCACAGCCUCUCCUCCGGCCGCGCCCAUCUCCAGUGGGAUUACCGGACGCCACUAAGCAUUGUGGGAAACUCCCCAAAGCCACCUUCUCAGGAGGCCUGGCUUAUUAAAGCCCAGGCCCAGCCUUUUCUUUCACCUAUUGACCAGAGUCCCCGCUGUCUGGGGAUCCUUUGCAGGGCCUGAAUGGUCUCCGACUGACAAAGGCGGUCCCGGCAGGGAUCCUACAGGGUUUUUAAGAAAACAGUUGCCAAGGACAAAAAGAAGCCGCAUUCCGCCGCUCGGCGCAGAGCCUGGCCCAGGGGCUGUGACCGAGCGCCCUCAGCUGCCCAUCUGCUGCCCCGCAGGCCACCAGCCAACGCAGAGAAAAAGUCCAGAGGGUGUCCUCAGGACGAUGCAAACUCCCACGUCCCGUGAGGAGGGGCGACCACGGCUUCUUGAACACACUUCUCCAGAGAAACUGUCUACACACCUGCUGUAAGGUAGAACCCAGCUCCCCACCCACCUCCCUCACCCCAGAAAGCCCCCUCCCACCUGCAGCCCUACCCGCAGCCCCGGACAACCACUGUUCUACGUGGGGCCUCCGUGGCCUCUUGCGUCUGCCUCCCUUCACUUCGCUGACUCUGGCUGGGUGGGUUCAUUCCCCGAAGUGCUGGUGGUGUCUCGUGGCGUGGACAGACCAUGUCUUGUGUACCCUCUCCCUGUCCAUGGGCAUCUGAGGUGUCUCCAGUCUAGGGCUCUUAUGAAAAGUGCUGUCGCAAAGUUUCAUAUGCAGGUCUUUAUGAGUAUGUACGUUUUCUCCCCCUGUGGGCAAAUAUCUAGGAGUAAAUUCUGAGUCAGAUGAGACCACUCUUCUAAGAAAUGGGCCAGAUUUUUCUCCGAAGUAGCCACCCCAUGAAACAUUCCUACCAGCGGUCCUGCCUCCUGCCUCCUGCCUCCCACAGACAGAUCCCUUUGUCUGCAUUCUCCCCAUCCUGGGAGCUAGGGCACCACUUCAGAGGUUAACCCUAGGCUGCCCCACAUCUGACUCGUAUAAGGGAGUGGUUCUUAAAAAUUAAAUCAGUUGCAACAAGAUCCAGAUGUCCAGCCUCUGAAAACUCAGAGGUGGGUGGUUGGUGGAACAAGCUGGAGCUGGGACCAGGGAGCAGCUGCUUCUUCAGGUGAGGCUUGCAUUUGCCCUGCUCCCUGCUGCCUCCCCAUCACUGAGGUUGGGCACUAGCCACUUGUCCAGCUGUUUUACUUACCACCAGGUUAUAAUAAAAUGAAACCUUUCCCAUACUCCCA